rnacentral:rRNA from 1 species
UAGAGUUUGAUCCUGGCUCAGGAUGAACGCUGGCGGCGUGCUUAAUACAUGCAAGUCGAACGAAGCUCCUUAUCUUCGGACGAGGAGUCUUAGUGGCGAACGGGUGCGUAACGCGUUGGUAACCUGCCCCAAAGAGGGGGAUAACAGUUCGAAAGGACUGCUAAUACCCCAUACGGUCAUUAGGGUUAGAUACUUGAUGAUUAAAGGAGUAAUCCGCUUUGGGAGGGGCCUGCGUCCCAUCAGCUAGUUGGUAGGGUAAUGGCCUACCAAGGCAAUGACGGGUAGGGGACCUGAGAGGGUGGCCCCCCACACUGGCACUGAAAUACGGGCCAGACACCUACGGGUGGCAGCAGUAGGGAAUAUUGGACAAUGGGCGAAAGCCUGAUCCAGCAACGCCGCGUGCACGAUGACGGCCUUCGGGUUGUAAAGUGCUUUUAAGGGAGAUGAGAAAGGACAGUAUCCCUUGAAUAAGCCUCGGCGAACUACGUGCCAGCAGCCGCGGUAAAACGUAGGAGGCAAGCGUUAUCCGGAUUUAUUGGGCGUAAGCGCGUGCAGGCUGUUUGGAAAGUUGGAUGUGAAAGCUCCUGGCUUAACUGGGAGAGGUCGUUCAAAACUACCAAACUAGAGAAUGGGAGAGGGAAGUGGAAUUCCGGGUGUAGUGGUGAAAUGCGUAGAUAUCCGGAGGAACACCAGUGGCGAAAGCGGCUUCCUAGACCAUUUCUGACGCUUAGACGCGAAAGCUAGGGGAGCGAACGGGAUUAGAGACCCCGGUAGUCCUAGCUGUAAACGAUGUAGACUUGGCGUUGGCGAAGUUAAAUCUGCCAGUGCCGGAGCUAACGCGUUAAGUCUACCGCCUGGGGACUACGACCGCAAGGUUAAAACUCAAAGGAAUUGACGGGGACCCGCACAAGCAGCGGAGCGUGUGGUUUAUUCGAUGCUACACGAAGAACCUUACCAGGGUUUGACAUGCAAGUGGUAGGAAACUGAAAGGGGACCGACCCUUCGGGGAGCUUGCACAGGUGCUGCAUGGCUGUCGUCAGCUCGUGUCGUGAGAUGUUCGGUUAAGUCCGCUAACGAGCGCAACCCUCACUGUGUGUUAUAUGUGUCACACGGGACUGCCGGUUUUAAGCCGGAGGAAGGUGGGGAUGACGUCAAGUCAGCAUGGCCUUUAUAUCCUGGGCUACACACACGCUACAAUGGUCGGUACAAUAGGUUGCCAAGCCGCGAGGCGGAGCCAAUCCAUAAAAGCCGGCCUCAGUUCAGAUUGUAGGCUGCAACUCGCCUGCAUGAAGAUGGAGUUGCUAGUAACCGCAGGUCAGCAAUACUGCGGUGAAUACGUUCCCGGGUCUUGUACACACCGCCCGUCACGUCAUGGAAGCCGGCAACACCUGAAGCCGGUAUCCUAACCGCAAGGAAGGAGCCGUCGAAGGUGGGGUCGGUGACUGGGACGAAGUCGUAACAAGGUAGGUGUACCGGAAGGUGCGGCUGGAUCACCUCCUUA